rnacentral:rRNA from 1 species
UAGGGAAUAUUAGAAAUGGGCGAAAGUCUGAUCUAGCAACACCGCGUGUGCGAAGAAGGCCUUCGGGUCGUAAAGCACUUUUUGGAAGGAAUAGGAAGGAAUGUACUUCCAGAAUAAGCCUCGGCUAACUACGUGCCAGCAGCCGCGGUAACACGUAGGAGGCAAACGUUAUCCGGAUUUACUGGGCGUAAAGCGCGUGUAGGUGGUACUGUAAGUAGGGCGUGAAAGCUCCUGGUUCAACUGGGAGAGGCCGUUCUAAACUACAGAACUAGAGGAUGGUAGAGGGAGGUGGAAUUCCAGGUGUAGCGGUGGAAUGCGCAGAUAUCUGGAGGAACACCGGUGGCGAAGGCGGCCUCCUGGACCAUUCCUGACACUCAGACGCGAAAGCUACGGUAGCAAACGG